rnacentral:sRNA from 1 species
GUCUGUGUAGAGCACACUGAGGAGUACUUACUGAGGAGUACACACUGAGGAGUAAUUUAAGUAUUGUAUUUUGACCAAGGAAGGGGGGCAGAGUAAUGGUGGUGACAGAUGGAGUUGCACCAAGGAGACAUGGGUUGGGGCAGGGAGGAAGGAGGUGGAGGAUCCUGGUUAGGUCCAGGCUAGGGAGAGAGGUGCCCUUUCUCCCUCCCUCCCUCUCCCAUCAGGGCAGAGCAGAAAGGAGAGCAGGUGGAGUGAUUCAGGGUUGUUAAUGAAAGUGUGUCCCUGGGAGGCCUCUCACCUUGCAGUUGACCAGAAGAGCUGGAAUCUCUGUCCUGCUGGUCUUCCUCCUGCUCUCCUGGCCAUGAAUCAGGGCCUGCAUCCGGGGAGGCUCCCCCUGAAGCCAAUUCGGGUUUCCCUCCACCAGGCGUCUUUGGAUCACACUGCGCGGCUGCUGGCUCCAUCACAAAACAAUGAAGGAGGAAGUGGGACGCAGAGAGAAACGCACAUGGGGAGAACGCCGCGUGAAGGCUGAGGUCGGGAUAAUGCAUCUGCAAGCCAAGGAACACCUAAGAGGACCAGCAAACCACCAGAAGCCGGGGGAGAGGCGUGGAACAGACCCUGCCUUACAGCUGUCAGAAGGAACCAACCCUGCCAACACCUUCCUGUUGUACUUUCAGCUUCCAGAACUGUAAGAUGACAAAUCUCUAUUGUUUUAGCCACUCAA